rnacentral:rRNA from 1 species
CGGCGGACGGGUGAGGAAUACAUCGGAAUCUACUCUGUCGUGGGGGAUAACGUAGGGAAACUUACGCUAAUACCGCAUACGACCUACGGGUGAAAGCAGGGGAUCUUCGGACCUUGCGCGAUUGAAUGAGCCGAUGUCGGAUUAGCUAGUUGGCGGGGUAAAGGCCCACCAAGGCGACGAUCCGUAGCUGGUCUGAGAGGAUGAUCAGCCACACUGGAACUGAGACACGGUCCAGACUCCUACGGGAGGCAGCAGUC